rnacentral:rRNA from 1 species
GACGAACGCUGGCGGCGUGCUUAACACAUGCAAGUCGAGCGGGAUCCAACCGGGUGGCAACACCGGGGAAGAUCUAGCGGCGAACGGGUGAGUAACACGUGAGCAACCUGCCCCGAAGACUGGGGAUAACACCGGGAAACCGGUGCUAAUACCCGGAUGUCGUCAUUAGGCCGCAUGACCUGAUGAUGAAAGGAUUCAUCGCUUCGGGAGGGGCUCGCGGGCUAUCAGCUUGNGGUGGGGGUAACGGCCUACCAAGGCGACGACGGCUAGCUGGUCUGAGAGGGACGACCAGCCACACUGGAACUGAGACACGGUCCAGACACCUACGGGUGCAGCAGUCGAGAAUUUUUCUCAAUGGGCGAAAGCCUGAAGGAGCGACGCCGCGUGGGGGAUGAAGGGCUUCGGUCCGUAAACCCCUGUCAUUUGCGAACAAA